GUGCUCACUUUGGUAGCACAUAUACUAAAAUUGGAACGAUAGAGAUUAGCUUGGCCCCUAUGCAAAGAUGCCACACAAAAUCAACAAAUAAAAAACAGCUCC